rnacentral:misc_RNA from 1 species
GAAAUGCGAUAAGUAGUGUGAAUUGCAGAAUUCAGUGAAUCAUCGAAUCUUUGAACGCACAUUGCGCCCCUUGGUAUUCCAUUGGGCAUGCCUGUUCGAGCGUCAUUUGUACCCUCAAGCUCUGCUUGGUGUUGGGUGUUUGUCCCCGUCUCCGCGCGUGGACUCGCCCCAAAGUGAUUGGCAGCCGGCGUACUGGUCCCGGAGCGCAGCACAUGUCGCGCAAACGAGUGCCUUGGUACGGCGGCGUCCAUAAGCCCCUCUCUCACGCUCUUGACCUCGGAUCAGGUAGGGAUACCCGCUGAACUUAAGC